GAUGAAGAACGUAGCGAAAUGCGAUAAGUAAUGUGAAUUGCAGAAUUCAGUGAAUCAUCGAAUCUUUGAACGCACAUUGCGCCCGCCAGUAUUCUGGCGGGCAUGCCUGUUCGAGCGUCAUUUCAACCAUCAAGCCUUUGCUUGCGUUGGGGCCCCGCGGCUGCCGCGGCCCCCUAAAUCCAGUGGCGGGCUCGUCGUCGUACCGAGCGCAGUAAACAUCCUCGCUCCGGGAACCCGACGGGUGCCGGCCGUGAAACCCCUCACAUCAAGGUUGACCUCGGAUCAGGUAGGAAUACCCGCUGAACUUAAGCAUAUCAAUAAGCGGAGGA
rnacentral:misc_RNA from 1 species